ACGGGAGGCAGCAGUAGGGAAUCUUCCGCAAUGGACGAAAGUCUGACGGAGCAACGCCGCGUGAGUGAUGAAGGUUUUCGGAUCGUAAAGCUCUGUUGUUAGGGAAGAACAAGUGCGAGAGUAACUGCUCGCACCUUGACGGUACCUAACCAGAAAGCCACGGCUAACUACGUGCCAGCAGCCGCGGUAAUACGUAGGUGGCAAGCGUUGUCCGGAAUUAUUGGGCGUAAAGGGCUCGCAGGCGGUUUCUUAAGUCUGAUGUGAAAGCCCCCGGCUCAACCGGGGAGGGUCAUUGGAAACUGGGAAACUUGAGUGCAGAAGAGGAGAGUGGAAUUCCACGUGUAGCGGUGAAAUGCGUAGAGAUGUGGAGGAACACCAGUGGCGAAGGCGACUUUCUGGUCUGUAACUGACGCUGAGGAGCGAAAGCGUGGGGAGCGAACAGGAUUAGAUACCCUGGUAGUCCACGCCGUAAACGAUGAGUGCUAAGUGUUAGGGGGUUUCCGCCUCUUAGUGCUGCAGCUAACGCAUUAAGCACUCCGCCUGGGGAGUACGGUCGCAAGACUGAAACUCAAAGGAAUUGAC
rnacentral:rRNA from 1 species